CAUAGGUGUUGGUGAGGCAGAGUAAGAACAUGUUAUAGGGAAACUAUGACAUUAAAAGCAGCAUACCAUACCAUAAGAAUAACAGCGUCCAAGGAUAUUGAUCUCUCAUCUUCAGUGGUGAUCACGACAUGCUUGUCCCUUUCCUUGCAACUCAAGACUGGAUAAGAUCACUAAACUAUUCCAUUAUUGACCACUGGAGGCCAUGGAUGGUUCACAAUCAAGUCGCUGCUGUAUUUUGUCAUUUUCAUCACAGAAACAUGUGUAGUAGUUUCAAAAAAAAACAUAUAUGUGAAGAUCAUCAAUUUGUUUUCAUUGUAGAUACACAAGAACUUAUGCCAAUAAGCUGACAUUUGACACUGUGAAAGCAAGUUUACGUUUUUC